rnacentral:rRNA from 1 species
GACGAACGCUGGCGGCGUGCUUAACACAUGCAAGUCGAACGGAAAGGCCCUGCUUUUGUGGGGUGCUCGAGUGGCGAACGGGUGAGUAACACGUGAGUAACCUGCCCUUGACUUUGGGAUAACUUCAGGAAACUGGGGCUAAUACCGGAUAGGAGCUCCUGCUGCAUGGUGGGGGUUGGAAAGUUUCGGCGGUUGGGGAUGGACUCGCGGCUUAUCAGCUUGUUGGUGGGGUAGUGGCUUACCAAGGCUUUGACGGGUAGCCGGCCUGAGAGGGUGACCGGCCACAUUGGGACUGAGAUACGGCCCAGACUCCUACGGGAGGCAGUAGUGGGGAAUAUUGCACAAUGGGCGGAAGCCUGAUGCAGCAACGCCGCGUGCGAGAUGACGGCCUUCGGGUUGUAAACCGCUUUCGCCUGUGACGAAGCGUGAGUGACGGUAAUGGGUAAAGAAGCACCGGCUAACUACGUG